UACAGAGGGGGCAAGCGUUGUCCGGAAUCAUUGGGCGUAAAGGGCGCGUAGGCGGCGCGGCAAGUCGGGUGUGAAAUCUCGGAGCUUAACUCCGAAACUGCAUUCGAUACUGCCGUGCUUGAGGACUGGAGAGGAGACUGGAAUUUACGGUGUAGCGGUGAAAUGCGUAGAUAUCGUAAGGAAGACCAGUGGCGAAGGCGGGUCUCUGGACAGUUCCUGACGCUGAGGCACGAAGGUCAGGGGAGCAAACGGG
rnacentral:rRNA from 1 species